UCGGGAAUAUUGCGCAAUGGAGGAAACUCUGACGCAGUGACGCCGCGUGCAGGAAGAAGGUUUUCGGAUUGUAAACUGCUUUUAGACAGGGAAGAAAAAUGGACAGUACCUGUAGAAUAAGCUCCGGCUAACUACGUGCCAGCAGCCGCGGUAAUACGUAGGGAGCAAGCGUUAUCCGGAUUUAUUGGGUGUAAAGGGUGCGUAGACGGGAAGUCAAGUUAGUUGUGAAAUCCCUCGGCUCAACUGAGGAACUGCAACUAAACUAACUUUCUUGAGUGCUGGAGAGGAAAGUGGAAUUCCUAGUGUAGCGGUGAAAUGCGUAGAUAUUAGGAGGAACACCAGUGGCGAAGGCGACUUUCUGGACAGUAACUGACGUUGAGGCACGAAAGUGUGGGGAGCAAACAGGAUUAGAUACCC
rnacentral:rRNA from 1 species